UAAUGCGAUUAUACCAGCACUAAUGCACCGGAUUCCAUUAGAACUUCGCAGUUAAGCGUAUUUGGGCGAGAGUAUUACUAGGAUGGGUGACCUCCUGAGAAGUCCUCGUGUUGCAACAU
rfam:Beta vulgaris subsp. vulgaris chromosome 4, whole genome shotgun sequence.